rnacentral:misc_RNA from 1 species
UCCGUGUUCACCACGGCAGUCUCCCUAGAGAGCCCAACUGAAUGCUGGCAACUAAGGACAAGGGUUGCGCUCGUUGCGGGACUUAACCCAACAGGUCACCCCACGAGCUGACGACAGCCAUGCAGCACCUGUGUCCCUGUCGUAUUGCUACGAAAGCCGUAUCUCUACGGUUGUCAGGGCAUGUCAAACCCAGGUAAGGUUUUUCGCGUUGCUUCGAAUUAAACCACAUGAUCCACCGCUUGUGCGGGCCCCCGUCAAUUCCUUUGAGUUUUAGUCUUGCGACCGUACUUCCCAGGCGGGGUACUUAGUGCGUUAGCGCCGGUUCAGCGGGGGUCAAGACCCACCAAACCUAGUACCCAUCGUUUACAGCGUGGACUAC